rnacentral:rRNA from 1 species
AUUGAACGCUGGCGGCAUGCCUUACACAUGCAAGUCGAACGGCAGCACGGGUGCUUGCACCUGGUGGCGAGUGGCGAACGGGUGAGUAAUACAUCGGAACAUGUCCUGUAGUGGGGGAUAGCCCGGCGAAAGCCGGAUCAAUACCGCAUACGAUCUACGGAUGAAAGCGGGGGACCUUCGGGCCUCGCGCUAUAGGGUUGGCCGAUGGCUGAUUAGCUAGUUGGUGGGGUAAAGGCCUACCAAGGCGACGAUCAGUAGCUGGUCUGAGAGGACGACCAGCCACACUGGGACUGAGACACGGCCCAGACUCCUACGGGAGGCAGCAGUGGGGAAUUUUGGACAAUGGGCGAAAGCCUGAUCCAGCAAUGCCGCGUGUGUGAAGAAGGCCUUCGGGUUGUAAAGCACUUUUGUCCGGAAAGAAAUCCUUGGCCCUAAUACGGUCGGGGGAUGACGGUACCGGAAGAAUAAGCACCGGCUAACUACGUG